CUCUGGGAUGAUGUGUCUGAUACCGCCCCGGACUGAGCUUCUGUGACUGAGAUGGUACCCUCUGACCAGCC
rnacentral:snoRNA from 1 species